CAUUAUUGAAAAAAACUAACCAGUUUUUUAUAUCCCAUUGUUUACCUACCCUGUUGCUUCCACUGGACAUGUUUUGCCUCGUGUGAAACCUUUGGCUUGUGUACUCAACACUUGCCCAAGAGCUGCCAGUGGCAAGGAUUGUUUAACAAAACUUGAUGAAAAUUAAAUUGUCUGAAUAUUUUUCUUCAAUGAAAUAAAACUUUCAACAACGGAUCUCUAGGCUCUUGCAUCGAUGAAGAACGCAGUGAAAUGCGAUACGUAAUGUGAAUUGCAGAAUCUCGUGAAUCAUCAAAUCUUUGAACGCACAUUGCGCCCUACGGUAUUCCGUGGGGCAUGCCUGUCUGAGCGUCAGCUCCCCCACCCCACUCAAGCAUCCUUUCGUGAAGCUUGGAUUCCUUUGGAGAGGUACCUCUGCAUAGAGUUGCCCUCUAGAAAUUUAUAGGCAGUGUGGUUUGUAUUAAAACCAAGCGUAAUAAAAAUCAAAAUCGCUUGUUUGAAUAUAAUUACACUUGCCUUAACCCACCCAUUUUACUUUGGGUGACCUCAGAUCAGGUAGGGAUACCCGCUGAACUU
rnacentral:rRNA from 1 species